GGACGAUUAGCUCAGCGGUUAGAGCAUCCGGUUUACAUCCGGGGGGUCGUAGGUUCGAAUCCUACAUCGUCCACCA
rnacentral:tRNA from 1 species